rnacentral:lncRNA from 1 species
ACAGGGAUCUGGUGUGAAUGUUACAUUAGACAAUCAACAGAAUCGACGUUUUUCUGAGUGAGUGCACUGGUGUUGUAUUUCUUUUGGGAUUUAAGCUGUCUUAUCACUAAACCCUUUAAAAGAUGUGUCUCAAGUACUUAGUUGGUCAUUUGAAUUCUCUUUACCUCUCUCUCUCUCUCACACACACACACAGACACACACACACAUACAUACACGCGCGCACACACACACACACACACACACACACACACACACACAUCAAGGGAAACUUAACUGAGAACUCAACCAAGCAAGACUCUUUUUUUGUACUCACUCUCCUAUGUCCAAACAUUCAAGCACUCCCACACAUACACAGACACACACACACACACACACACUCCCACACAUACACAGACACACAAACACAGUCUGAGAGAGAACACCAGCUAGCCAAUGCAGAGACAUGCAGGUCAGUGGGCCGUCCUGAGAGAGGGGGUCACACUUGUGCCCACGGCAACAGGACAGACUCCAAACACAGCGUUGUCAACCAAAAUCCCCUCAAAGCUAUGCAGCUCCCUUAAGCCCUUCUCUCCCUCAACAUGAGCUUCUGUGGGUCCCCAGGAUUACUCGUCUGUGAGGAGAGCGACGCUGUCGGGGACAUCAGGAAGCACUUGGACCAAAGCCAGGAGCUGAGACGCCAUCUUGCUGAGCUCCAGAGCAACACUGAGCAGGAGAUCUCCACCAUCACACAGCAGCUUGGGUGUGUGGUGCUGCGGCGUGAGCGUAUAAGCUGUGAGUUAGCCGAUCUCCAGAGGCAGCACUCCGAGGUCCAGUCCGCCCUAGAGAGGAACCGGGACUCAGACACCUGUGCUGUAAGUGACCCACCAGCUAGCCUGAGCGCCUGACUGUCUGAGCCAUCAACAAUCAUUAGUUAUUGAAUUCAUGAAUGUUUGUGUGUGUGUGUGUGUGUGUGUGUGUGUGUGUGUGUGUGUGUGUGUGUGUGUACAGACUCUACUGCAGCAGAGGCGUGAGCUGCAGGUGUGUAUAGCCGGCCGGGCAGCACAGCGAGAGCGUGUGUGUUUUCGGGAACAGGCCCUCCGAGCACUGCAAGGCAUUCUAAGCGCAGACGCCCACAGGUACCAGCAGGAGACCCAGAAACUUCACCUCCUCAGCCACAGAGCCUCCAGUGUCAUGCCAGGGGAGAGCCAGAACGAGCCGGACAACAUGGAAUGCCACUUUGAUUCCAGCAAGCAGCCUGAGAGCCCCUCAUCCGAGGAGGAGGCGCCCAGCGCCAAGGCCAGCCAGAACCCCAAGUAUCAGCUGUACAUGAGUGGAGAGGCCCUGGGGAACGGCUCCAGAGAUCCAGAGGGGCUGGUGGGAGAGAGCGGGCCCCGGACCAGCCGCUGGGAGAGCAGCAGGCAGGGGACGAGCAACCGGGGCUCCAUGGAGUCCCUCCUCUCCAGAGACUGGGACACCAUGUCAGACCGGGUGGGUGGCUUUGAGAGCCCUCCUCUCCGCGUCUUCAACAGCCCCUACACAUCAUCUCUGGAUUUCAAUCCCAUCCACAGGAUGUCUGAGUAUAAGGUCCAGGACGGGCUCUCCCCUGCCACCGACUUCAACAUCUUUGGGCUGAACGGGCGAAGCACCAGCCCUGUGACAUUCACCAACGUGCACGCCCCUCGUGCACGCUACACUUCAACCUAUGACACCCUCACCAGGAGACGGGAGAGAGAGACGGCCCCCAACCAAGUGUCUCUGCGCUCGGGCAUGUCCAACAAACGGGACUACAUUGAGGAGCUGACCAAACAGCUGGAGGAGGUUCAGAGGAGGAACCAGUUCUUGGAGGCCGAGAGCAUUGAGAUGGAUAAGGAGCGAAACCAGAUCCGCUUUGAGAUGCGUGGGCUCCUGGUCAACAAUGAAGACCUGGUGCGCAACAACACCCAGCUGCAGGGGGAGAUGAAGAAGAUGAGGGACAGGAUGGUGGAGGUGGAGUCCGACCACAACGUCAUGGUGGAGCGUUUCAGACAGAUGGAGGGUGAACUGAAAGAAGCCAGAGAGGUGAUGGUAGAAGCCAACACUCAGGAGUACGCCUUCAACUUCCUCCAGCAGUCCCUCAAGAACAAGAUUCAGGAUGCUGAGGACGCCCUGGACAAGCAGACGCAGCACGCUCAGGUCAUCUCUGAGAAGCUGUGGUUAGCGGAGCGGAAGCUGGAGGAGCUGGAGGUGGACAAAGAGACCAGAGGCAAGAAGAACUCUGAGCUCAACAGCUCUGUGCAGCGCCUGGAGGAUGAGCUGGCCGAGGCCUUGCAGACGUCUACACAGGCCAGUGUAGAGCUCAGCCUGCAGCAGAAGCUGAGAGCUGAUGCCCAGCUGCGGGUGGAGGAGCUAGAGGAGAGCCUGCUGGAGAAGAACCAGGAAAUGCUCAGACUCCAGCAGAUCAUCCACAGACUACAGGGAGAGGUCUCCGGUAAGCUGAUUGAUAAGGAGCAGAGCUUGGAGGAGGAGAUCCAGCUGAGGGAGAGGAUCCAGCUGCAGUGCAAACAGGCCGAGCGCCACGUGGAGGACCUGCAGAUGGAGAUACACACAGCCAAACAGGCCAGAGAAGACCUGGUCAAACAGCUCAAGAGCACACAGGUACACACACACACACACACACACAUACACACACACACACACACACACACACACACACACACACACACACACAGGAUCCAUCUCUCUCUCACACACACACACAAAUGCAUACACACACUCUGUCUCACGCUCUCUCACACACACACACACACACACACACACACACACACACACACACACACACACACACACACACACACACACACAUACUGUCUUUCUCUCUCUCAUAGUUUGUGGUGA